UCCUUGGUGGUCCAAGGGUAAGACUCUGUGCUUCCAGUGCAGGGGGCUUGGGUUCAAUCCCUGCUCAGGGAA
rnacentral:tRNA from 1 species